GCGAGUAUGGCCCUCACGGGUCUAAUCCACCAUAAACACCUUUGUGAACCAGUCAGGGGGACUCGGCCGUGAAAGCCCAGGCGAUUAGCGGAAGGGCCCUCCUUUGCAAACCCGUUUAAAAGUCUUGAAAGUACUUUUGUAUAAUCUAGUA
rnacentral:misc_RNA from 1 species